CCUACGGGAGGCAGCAGUGGGGGAUAUUGCACAAUGGGCGAAAGCCUGAUGCAGCAACGCCGCGUGAGGGAAGAAGGUUUUCGGGUUUUAAACCCUUUUUCUUGGGGAAGAUAAUGACGGUAACCAAGGAGAAAGCACCGGCUAACUACGUGCCAGCAGCCGCGGUAAUACGGAGGGAGCAAGCGUUGUCCGGAUUUAGUGGGUGUAAAGGGUGCGUAGGCGGUCUUGCAAGUCAGACGUGAAAACCACAGGCUCAACCUGUGGAUGGCGGUUGAAACUGUGGGGCUUGAGUGAAGUAGAGGUAGGCGGAAUUCCCGGUGUAGCGGUGAAAUGCGUAGAGAUCGGGAGGAACACCAGUGGCGAAGGCGGCCUACUGGGCUUUAACUGACGCUGAGGCACGAAAGCAUGGGUAGCAAACAGGAUUAGAUACCCGUGUAGUC
rnacentral:rRNA from 1 species